AGCGAACGCUGGCGGCAGGCCUAACACAUGUAAGUCGAACGAACCCUUCGGGGUUAGUGGCGGACGGGCGAGUAACACGUGGGAACGUGCCUUUAGGUUCGGAAUAACUCAGGGAAACUUGUGCUAAUACCGAAUGUGCCCUUCGGGGGAAAGAUUUAUCGCCUUUAGAGCGGCCCGCGUCUGAUUAGCUAGUUGGUGAGGUAAUGGCUCACCAAGGCUGCGAUCAGUAGCUGGUCUGAGAGGAUGACCAGCCACAUUGGGACUGAGACACGGCCCAAACUCCUACGGGAGGCAGCAGUGGGGAAUCUUGCGCAAUGGGCGAAAGCCUGACGCAGCCAUGCCGCGUGGAUGAUGAAGGUCUUAGGAUUGUAAAAUCCUUUCACCGGUGAAGAUAAUGACUGUAGCCGGAGAAGAAGCCCCGGCUAACUUCGUGCCAGCCGCCGCGGUAAUAC
rnacentral:rRNA from 1 species